UACGUAGGGGGCAAGCGUUAUCCGGAUUUACUGGGUGUAAAGGGAGUGUAGGUGGCAUGGCAAGUCAGAAGUGAAAGCCCGGGGCUCAACCCCGGGACUGCUUUUGAAACUGCCAAGCUAGAGUGCAGGAGAGGUAAGUGGAAUUCCUAGUGUAGCGGUGAAAUGCGUAGAUAUUAGGAGGAACACCAGUGGCGAAGGCGGCUUACUGGACUGUAACUGACACUGAGGCUCGAAAGCGUGGGGAGCAAAC
rnacentral:rRNA from 1 species